rnacentral:rRNA from 1 species
GGAUAAACUCGGGAAGUGAGGCUAACCGCGAUAGACCAAGAUACCUGGAAUGGUUUUGAUCAACUCUAUAUGGCCUUUGGGAUUGGACUACGACCGAUCAGGCUGUUGGUGAGGUAAUGGCCCACCAAACCUGUAACCGGUACGGGCUCUGAGAGGAGGAGCCCGGAGAUGGGUACUGAGAAAAGGACCCAGGCCCUAUGGGGCGCAGCAGGCGCGAAACCUCUGCAAUAGGCGAAAGCCUGACAGGGUUACUCUGAGUGACUUUCGCUAAGAAAGUCUUUUGACACCUCUAAAAAUGGUGUAGAAUAAGGGGUGGGCAAGUCUGGUGUCAGCCGCCGCGGUAAUACCAGCACCCCGAGUGGUCGGGACGAUUAUUGGGCCUAAAGCAUCCGUAGCCGGUUUUACAAGUCCUCCGUUAAAUCCAACUGCUUAACAGAUGGGCCGCGGAGGAUACUAUAAGACUAGGAGGCAGGAGAGGCAAGCGGUACUCAGUGGGUAGGGGUAAAAUCCGUUGAUCCAUUGAAGACCACCAGUGGCGAAGGCGGCUUGCCAGAAUGCGCUCGACGGUGAGGGAUGAAAGCUGGGGGAGCAAACCGGAUUAGAUACCCGGGUAGUCCCAGCUGUAAACGAUGCAGACUCGGUGAUGGGUUGGCUUUGCGCCAACCCAGUGCCGCAGGGAAGCCGUUAAGUCUGCCGCCUGGGGAGUACGGUCGCAAGACUGAAACUUAAAGGAAUUGGCGGGGGAGCAC